GUCCGAAUUAUUAUAAUAAUAAAUUUUUCCCGUUUCUUUUCCGAGUUAGUGAGUUACAUAGGACAAACGACAAACACAAGUUUGGAUUGCUUCUUGAUAUGGUUUGACAAUCAUAUAUGACAAAGCUCUUUUUCUUCUUCUAUCGUUUUUCCUCUUCUGUUGUUAACGACCCAUUGCGGAGAGAAAGAAACAAUGCCAUAUGCGCGCAUGCUAUAGACAUUUGGCUUUCGCAUGUCCUAGCCGGCUAGUAGUAGCGACUUUCCAAAAAAGAACAACUUUUUUCUUUUUGGAAAGGCUGUUGCUACACGUGUCCCGCUUUCUCACUGUCGAGGUGAAAAAGAAACGAAAGCCUUGCUGGCGCUGCCUGGGACCCUGACUGGGCUGAUUUUUCUCUUCAAUCAAUAAAAGGGAAAAAAAGAAAAAUCGAAAUAAAAAUUGAACUUUGUCUGCCAACAAAGUCCACGCGACCGUUGCGCACAAUCAGAGUUCGUCCUUUGAACCGUGUUUGUUAUUCGCGUCUAACCCAUCUGCUAAAAUAAACCUCAUCUAUUUUGUGUGUAACGUUGACGUAAGCACUUGAAAACACGCGCGCAACCUGGACGAUAUGUGUCACGUCCGAUUUCGCAUUGGGCAACAGUCCAAAAACAAAAAUUCGUUUUUCCUUGUUUUUCACCGUUCAUCACGCCCGUUGGGAAUGUGACCUGGUCAGAUUUAGAUGAACCACGUUUUCGCUUAAACACGUGCAGCAUAUAAGCCACACGAUCACCCUGGUCGUAAAUAACGAAAAGAUAAACGAAGAAAUGUUUGUUGUUUCAUUGCAUCAUGACUUGACUGUAUUUUUUUUUGGUCUUUUUCACAUUUUUAGUCUUUUCUUCACAUCCAUCAAACAAAUUUUGUUUGUUCAGGAGACACCGACAUUUCAAGGAUAUAUAUAUAGUAUAAUAAGGGAGGGAAUACAAAAACAAAGAUCAUCACCAUCAUAUCAUCAUCAUCACGAUAUCAAUCUAAAGAGUGUGUGUAUGUGAGAGAGUCCUAUAUAGCAACAAGACAAAAAGGAGUAGGGAAAAAAAAAUUGAAAAAUCAAAAACAAGACAAUACACACACAAGAACACACGGCCAUCACUUUUUGUGGUAUCCACGGCACCCUCCAGGAGCACACCAGUAUAUAGGAGGAGGAAUCAAGAGUUUACGAAAGAGCCGGUGGUAUGUGUGUACAUCAUGGAAACAAUGCUGCUUGUUUGAAAGUGCACAAAAUUAAUUUUUUUUUUAGCUUUUCUUCUUCGAAAUAUAAUCACACAAACUUGGACGAGAAGGAGAUUUUUGCUACCGAAAAAAGAAAUGGUGGGAUGAUGAACUAUCUUUUUUUUGUUUCUUUUCUUUAUCGUCUUUAAACAUAAAUUUUCAGCACGUAAUACAAUAUUAUCUUUUUUUUUUUUUGUUUAGAACUCUAGUACAUUAUUCCUUUUUUUAAUCAUUUUUGUUACCUUUGUUCCAAUAUGAAAGACACAACUUCCCACGAAAAGAGAUAUUAAUAGUAAUAAUAAUAAUAAUGUGUGUGUGUGUGUGGUGGCGGGCGGGUACACACCCCUCUGUGCAAAGAGAUUGCUCGUCGUCGUCUUCAACAUCCUUUCCAGAUAAAUCCGCAGACAGAUCCAUCCUGGCUAGGAGCUGCCCCUCUAUUUCUUAAUAUUUGUCUUCCUCUACUGACUAGAUGAGCGGAAGAGUUUACGUUUCACCAGAGAGUAGUCUUGACUGAUGACCAUUGUAGAACGGUAAGCCAGAUUUCUAUUUAAUGUCAAAAAUUAAUAAAUUUUACAAAUUAAAAAUAUUUUAAAAUUAAAAAAAAAAGACUUACUGGAGAAACAGUGGAAGCUUUGAAGUCCAGGAAGUGUGUGGACGGAGCGUCAGGUACAAUUCGAAUGUGUUGACCGUGUACGGAUGGCAUUUGACGGCUCCAAUCCGUUGCUUCCGAUCAUUGUUAUUGCGGUUGUUGGGUUCUUCAAAAUCAAUAAACACCAUACACCCCCUGAAGAAAAAUAAGAGAACAUGAAACAAUAAAAUAAAAUAGCCAGUUAAUGAGUUGUUUUUUUUCUUACCUAAUUCCGCAGGGCUCGUCAGCUGAUGCGGUAAGUAUGUCCGUGGCUAUGGACUGGAGGAUUCCGGCAGGCAACAAAAUUUCAUUGGGCGCUCUUUGUUGCUGGCCAUUGGAUAAGCGAUAUCUCGCCCGAGCCUAUUGUUAGAAGAAAAAGACAUAAAUUACACACAUACACACACACAAUCACUACACACAUUGUCCGCUAAUACGUACUUGGCGCAACUCGGCAGCCAAUAAUUCAGCUAGCACGUCUCUCGCCGUUUGCUCCUCCGCAUCUUCUAGGCUCGUGUUCCAUACAUCUGUAAUAAAAGAUAAUCGAUUGAUGAUUAAGAACGUGACAAUCUAAGGUGUGUCCCCAGUACAAAGGGCCCUUUCUCUUGUCUCUAUGGUUAAUGGGCAAAGGGACCCAAGGAGGAUGGGGGUGGGCGAACAAAGACACACACACAGGUCCAGACUAGGCACGAGUCAAGGUCAUAGUUCAUCACCAAGACAAAGUCGAAGAAAUCACCCACACGUAGCAAUUAAAUGUGAACUAAAUAGCAGUUGAUAAUACGUUGUGCAAUUUUAACUUUAAGUUUUUUUUAAAUAGGUGGAACCGGUAAACGUGACUUUCUCCCCAACGGUUUUCUAGCACGUUCGGGCUACGACAAAGCCGGUAGGUUGGGGGUUUCUUUGUUCGAUUUCGUGAGCCGACUCAAAUACACAUAAAAGAUAGGGACAUUGAAUGAAAUUUUGUUUUCUUACCUUCAUUAAAAUCAAAAGCAACUGGCAACGGCAUAACCUCCAUUUUCUUCAAUGUUGGCGAAAUUUCGGACGUCACGAAUAAAACAAGGGAAAAAAGAGCCGGCGAAUUUAAUAACGUGCAAGGGGGUUUCUUGGUAGUUAAGGAUUGUGUGAUUUGCUUUAAAAACUUGAGAGACUGUGUGCGAAAAAGAACUGUUUUUUGCUUUGAUCAAGGUGAAAAUUUAGAAGAGAA
rnacentral:lncRNA from 1 species